rnacentral:miRNA from 1 species
AUCCUCUACAGUACUGUACGGUGC